rnacentral:lncRNA from 1 species
CCAGCCAGGACUCAAGGGAGGGACGAAAUUUGCAACCCUGGAAACUCUGCACCCCAGGUUUAGCCUCUAUUGGAAUCACAGAGAUGUCACGGAAAGUGCAAUCGGGAAAUGGAUUGUCUCCAUCUCUGCUCGUAGAACGCAGGGCCCGGAGCCAAGUGUACAGGCAGCGCGUUUGUAUUUUAAGUUAUAUUAACAACCAGCUCCCUCUGCAAUUCCAAAUACUGAAUUAUGACGUCCUCCUCGGAGCAGCAGUAUAAUGAACAGCAGACGCUUGCAGGGAGAAGGGAAGCCAAGAUGGUCAGCCACGGGGAAGCUCAUCCACGGAGGGAAAGCUCAAUUCGAUCUCCAGCUGACCGCUUCGGCAGUUUCCACAGACUGUUUGAAAGCUCCCACUCGCUGCUGCCCUCCACCAUGCUUCGCCCGCCGUCUCUGUCAUGUUUUGAAUCCCGGAUUUGAUAGAUGUCUAUCUGCUGUUUUUGUCUGUCAUUUGCUGCUUACUCUUUUGCUUGCUACAUAAUGAAUAAACUCACAUAUUGGAAACUAAA